AUUGAACGCUGGCGGAAUGCUUUACACAUGCAAGUCGAACGGUAACAGGUUAAGCUGACGAGUGGCGAACGGGUGAGUAAUACAUCGGAACGUGCCCAGUCGUGGGGGAUAACGUAGAGAAAUUUACGCUAAUACCGCAUACGAUCUAAGGAUGAAAGCGGGGGACCGUAAGGCCUCGCGCGAUUGGAGCGGCCGAUGUCAGAUUAGGUAGUUGGUGGGGUAAAGGCCUACCAAGCCGACGAUCUGUAGCUGGUCUGAGAGGACGACCGGCCACACUGGGACUGAGACGCGGCCCAGACUCCUACGGGAGGCAGCAGUGGGGAAUUUUGGACAAUGGGCGCAAGCCUGAUCCAGCCAUUCCGCGUGCAGGAUGAAGGCCCUCGGGUUGUAAACUGCUUUUGUACAGAACGAAAAGGUCUGGGUUAAUACCCUGGGCUCAUGACGGUACUGUAAGAAUAAGCACCGGCUAACUACGUGCCAGCAGCCGCCGCGG
rnacentral:rRNA from 1 species